rnacentral:tRNA from 1 species
AAGGGAGACCUAAUUCAGGUAGGAGACGAAAAAAAAGUAGUCCCUACCAAGAAUCAAUCCCAAAAGGUCGGAGCGAGGCAAAAUUGGCUUUCAAACUAGGUUCUGGGUUCACACAAGACCUGAAUCAGGAACAAGGGCUAUUAGCUCAGGUGGUUAGAGCGCACCCCUGAUAAGGGUGAGGUCCCUGGUUCGAGUCCAGGAUGGCCCACCUGUACAGGUGGCAAAAACAAAGAAAAGAAGCGAGGAAUCAGCACCUUAUCUUACUUAUAUAGUGAGAGAGAAUGCUGGCUCUGAGUAAAGAGUCCAGAGGAACCUUGAAAACUGCAUAGAGCUAGGUGAAAAAGCCAAAAAAGAAGACCACAA